CCCACCAUAGUUUAGCUAUAAAACUUCGACUUGCAAAAUCGAAAACGGAAAAAUUCCUGGUGUGU
rnacentral:tRNA from 1 species